rnacentral:rRNA from 1 species
GACGAACGCUGGCGGCGUGCUUAACACAUGCAAGUCGAACGGAAAGGCCCUGCUUUUGUGGGGUGCUCGAGUGGCGAACGGGUGAGUAACACGUGAGUAACCUGCCCUUGACUUUGGGAUAACUUCAGGAAACUGGGGCUAAUACCGGAUAGGAGCUCCUGCUGCAUGGUGGGGGUUGGAAAGUUUCGGCGGUUGGGGGUGGACUCGCGGCUUAUCAGCUUGUUGGUGGGGUAGUGGCUUACCAAGGCUUUGACGGGUAGCCGGCCUGAGAGGGUGACCGGCACCAGGGGACGGGAAAUAGGCCCCGGACCCCUCGGGGGGGAGGAGGGGGGAAUUUGGGAAGAGGGGGGGAAGGCUGAAGCCGGCACCGCGCGGGGGGGAAGGGGGGCUUGGGGUUGGAAAACCGUUUCCCCGGGGAAGAAGGGGGGGGGGAGGGUAGGGGAAAAGAAAGACCCGGUUAACUCGGUG